GAUGAAGAACGUAGCGAAAUGCGAUAAGUAAUGCGAAUUGCAGAAUUCAGUGAGUCAUCGAAUCUUUGAACGCACAUUGCGCCCGCCAGUAUUCUGGCGGGCAUGCCUGUUCGAGCGUCAUUACAACCCUCAGGCCCCCGGGCCUGGCGUUGGGGAUCGGCGGAGCCCCCCGUGGGCACACGCCGUCCCCCAAAUGCAGUGGCGGUCCCGCCGCAGCUUCCAUCGCGUAGUAGCUAACACCUCGCGACUGGAGAGCGGCGCGGCCACGCCGUAAAACACCCAACUCUUCUGAAGUUGACCUCGAAUCAGGUAGGAAUACCCGCUGAACUUAAGCAUAUCAAUAAGCGGAGGA
rnacentral:misc_RNA from 1 species